rnacentral:rRNA from 1 species
UACGAAGGGGGGCGAGCGUUUGUUCGGAAUCACUGGGCGUAAAGGGCGCGUAGGUGGCGCGGGCAGUCAACGGUGAAAGUUCGGGGCUCAACCCUGAAUCGGCCGUCGAUACUCCCGGGCUUGAGCACUGUAGAGGCAGAUGGAAUUCCGGGUGUAGCGGUGGAAUGCGGUAGAUAUCGGGAGGAACACCUGUGGCGAAAGCGGCUCACUGGACCGCAACUGACGCUGAGGCGCGAAAGCUAGGGUAGCAAACGGGG